rnacentral:ncRNA from 1 species
CCGCCGUUAACUGCACGGAAUGAUCACCCGUGGCUCAACGGUGACCGGCGGACAAGUUAAUAAGAACGGCUGCCUAUUGAGCGGGUUGCCGCAGACCGAGACGGAGAAUUUCUCCGCCGGACUGUGGUUUAGUUUCUGCAUGCUUUUACAGCCGUACC